UACGGAGGAUGCGAGCGUUAUCCGGAUUUAUUGGGUUUAAAGGGUGCGUAGGCGGCCUGCCGAGUCAGCGGUAAAAUUGCGGGGCUCAACCCCGUACAGCCGUUGAAACUGCCGGGCUCGAGUGGGCGAGAAGUAUGCGGAAUGCGUGGUGUAGCGGUGAAAUGCAUAGAUAUCACGCAGAACCCCGAUUGCGAAGGCAGCAUACCGGCGCCCUACUGACGCUGAGGCACGAAAGCGCGGGGAUCAAACAGG
rnacentral:rRNA from 1 species